GGCCGCCUGGCGAAAUGGCAUCGCGUCUGACUACGAUUGUGUAAUCAGGAGAUUGCAGGUUCGACCCCUGCGGUGGUCA
rfam:Peniophora sp. CONT PENSPscaffold_5_Cont10, whole genome shotgun sequence.